CAGGUCUGUGAUGCCCUUAGAUGUUCUGGGCCGCACGCGCGCUACACUGGUACGCUCAACGAGUAUAUAACCUUGAUCGAUAGGUCUGGGUAAUCUUUUGAAUACGUAUCGUGCUAGGGAUAGAUUAUUGCAAUUAUUAACCUUGAACGAGGAAUUCCUAGUAAACGCAAGUCAUCAGCUUGCAUUGAUUACGUCUCUGCCCUUUGUACACACCGCCCGU
rnacentral:rRNA from 1 species